GUGUGUGUGUGUGUGUGUGUGUGUUCUGUAAUACGCUGAUACUCGGUGAACUGUGAAACUGUCUACUGUGUGCAGGGGAGGAGAUCUCUGAAUAGUGAGGAUUUAGUGAUGUGUUUCAGGCAUGCUCAGAUUUGUCUUUGGUAGGUAAUGUGGUCAUUUCAGAAAGACAAGGCUGGAAACUGGAGACUAUUUGGAAAACUACUUCUGUAGUCUACUAGGUGAUGGCCAGAGCUCUCCUCGAUGACAAAGGAAACUAUGAAGGGGAGGUGGAUUUAGGAAAUGAAAACAGGUCCUGGUGUAUUCUUACAUGUAGCAUGUAAGAGAAGAGGCUAAAAUGGCUCAAAGCACACAUACUCACACACAAAAUGCAUAAGAGAAAUUAAAUACUCAGACCAAGGGCAGGCAGGUAAUGGUUAAAUUGUUAAUUAAGUGAUUUUUUUCUGCCCUGUGCUUUCUGUGAUCAUCCUUAAUUAGGGGAUCCACUUGACUUUUAUGCAAAACAGAACAGAACAAAACCAUGGUAUCUUGGGAAUAAUAUCAGGACAAGAGUGUCUUUCUUCUGUUUAUGUGACAGAUUAGAAAUAAGAAGGAAGGUGAAGGGAACUGAGAAGCAAGAAAAAAAUCUUACAUUAAUCUAGAAUCCUUGAGAUAUUUGGUUUCAAGCUAGGAUCAUAAUUAUAUCUGCAACUGAAGAAGGAGACAGUAUAAAAUCUCUUAAAGACAAAAUGUCUUGCAACCUACAAAUAAGAACACACCAGACAGAAAAAUCUUUUCAGUUGAAUUGGCAGAAAAGAGAUAGAAAUGGCAAAUGAUG
rnacentral:lncRNA from 1 species